GAUUAAGUUAUUAAGGGCGCACGGUGGAUGCCUUGGCACUAGAAGCCGAUGAAGGACGUUACUAACGACGAUAUGCUUUGGGGAGCUGUAAGUAAGCUUUGAUCCAGAGAUUUCCGAAUGGGGAAACCCAACAUGAGUUAUGUCAUGUUAUCGAUAUGUGAAUACAUAGCAUAUCAGAAGGCACACCCGGAGAACUGAAACAUCUUAGUACCCGGAGGAAGAGAAAGAAAAUUCGAUUCCCUUAGUAGCGGCGAGCGA
rnacentral:rRNA from 1 species